UACGUAGGGUGCAAGCGUUGUCCGGAUUCACUGGGUGUAAAGGGUGCGCAGGCGGAAUGGUAAGUCAGGGGUGAAAUCUCACAGCUUAACUGUGAAACUGCCUUUGAUACUGUCAUUCUUGAGUUCGGGAGAGGCUGAUGGAAUUCCAGGUGUAGCGGUGAAAUGCGUAGAUAUCUGGAAGAACACCAGUGGCGAAGGCGGUCAGCUGGCCCGUAACUGACGCUCAGGCACGAAAGCGUGGGGAGCAAACAGG
rnacentral:rRNA from 2 species